rnacentral:lncRNA from 1 species
CUUUUCCUCUCUCAACCUUGGACAAAGCUGAAGAGAAAGCUGCUCGCCAUUCACCACAUAGAGGCUGGAUGGCCACAAGCUCAGAGAUCCUUUCUCGGCAAUGCCACACAGACCGGGGUGCCGAGGCAAUCCUCAAAGUCAUACACACGUCAUAUUGAUAACUCGCGACUAUGAAUCUCAAGACGUGGUAUAAACCAAUCACAGGGCCAGCAACCAGAACUUCUAAGCAGACCUCUGUACAUGGGCUGGAGUGGAUCAAAGGGAAAACGGAGGGAAUCAAUCGAUGUAAACUACACAUCAACUUUAAAAAGAAGUCGCCAAGGGAAUGAAACCAUUUUUCCCAAACAAGAGCAAGAAGAUGGGAGAGGCUGAAGUCAAGUGAAGAAACUGUGGAGUUCUCCUUCCAGUCUGCUGCACGUCUACACAGACACCAAGAAAUUCAGCUUUCAACUUCCACAUCAAGGCCACAGGCUGUUGUUGCAGAGAUGGGAACCCGCAUCCUGACUCGGGAGACUUUGGAUAUUGCUUUCGUUACCACCCUUGAACAGAGUGCCCUGGGGUUGCCAUGGUGAUCUGAAGGUCGUGUAUCCAGUUCAGUCCUUGGAGCAUGCUUCCCUCCUGUCCCCCUGGUUCCUAUGUCUUCUCUUGUCCAUUUCUACCAUCUCAAGAUUUCACCUCCUCGCAGUCUUGGUCAGUGGAAAGUUCUACAUCAGACAGGCCCACUUCCAGUGCCAUAAUUAAUGAGAUGUCAGAGUCACUGCUCAGUGCUGGCUCUUGACCACCUGAAGGGGGACAAAGCAAAGUUUAUGGUCAACGUCAAGCUAUGUCUUUGGAUGCUUCCGUUUUGGAAUUAUUGUUCCUAGUAGUGUUUCUCUUUUUAAGAUCUAGGUUUUGUUUUGUUUUUUUUUAAUUAAGCAUAUAAUAUUGAUUGUCACAUGAGUUUGCAUAUGUGUAUGUGCACACAAGUGCAGGUGCCUGGUGGGGGGGCAUUGGCUCCCCUGGAGUGAUAAGUGGUUGUGAGCUGCCCAGUUCAGAUGCUGGGAACUGAACUUCUGGCCUCUGGAAGAGCAGUAUGCAGUUUAAAACACUCUCCAUCCCAUCUACUAGCACUUCUUUUUUAAAAAAGUGCUACCCUUCCCAGCAUCCAGAGAUCAUUAUUCUACUCCACUCUUCCAUUAGAGUUAUAAACUUUUCACCUAAUAAUUUUAUUUCCAGAAGUCUUACAAAAAAUUGGCUGUUCUGUAAAAACUCUAAUUCAAAUCUCACCUCAAAAUAGAGCCCCAGAUAAAUUCUAAGUGGGUCAGAAAUUUAAAUGUGAGCCAUUGUGGUAGGAAACUAAUAGAGGCUGGCUAUGGUGGUGAACGCUUGUAAAGUCAGCACCGCGGAGGUGGAGGCGGGAAGACUGAGUCUGAGGUCAGCCUUAGCUGCAUGGUAAGGCCAUGUCUCAAAAGAGGAAUACCAAAAUAGCAAGAACCCACCCACCAGUCCUGUGAUGUUAAUGCUUACUGCAAGCUCAACAGAAUCCAGAAUCACCUAGGAGACAGACCUUUCUACAUGUCUGGAUGGGAGCAUCUGGACUUGGCUACAGAGAUAAGAAAAGACAUAGUAAAUGUGGAUGACAACCUUUCCAUGGGCAGUAUCUGGAUGGAACGAAGGGGAGAAUGUUACCUAAGCACCACCAGUCAUCUCUUUAUGUUUCCUAACUUCAGACCCGAUGUGAUCAGUUGCCUUAAAUUCCUGCCAUCGAGGCUGUACCUCAAACUGUAGCCAGAGUAAGCCCUUCCUUCCUUGUCUACAUUGCCGUGGGCCAUGUCUUUGGGAGAUUAUCUUGAUCAAGUUAAUGACGAGUGAGGGGGGUGGGGAAGACUUGGCCACCGUGGCUAAUGCUGUUCCCAUUCCAGCUGGGAAUCCUAGACUGUGUAAGAGUUGGGGAAGUGGAAUGAAUACAAGUGUGAGUUCC